rnacentral:rRNA from 1 species
UUCCGUAGGUGAACCGGCGGAAGGAUCAUUAUCGUUCCUUCACCCGCACUUUGCGUACUGUUUAGUACCUCUUUUUUGUCUGGGGAGCUGCCUCUUUGCUGAGAUGGUUCUCCGGCGCACCCUGCUUCGGCAGUUUCGUGGGCGUGACGCGUCGAUGCUCUCUGAGAGGUGUCGGUGCGUGUGGCCUCCCCCUAGAGAGCGAGCUUGUCUCGUUUUCGCAACUCUAAAAAAACAAUUCUCGCCGAUGGAUAUCUUGGCAUGAACAACGAUGAAGAACGCAGCGAAAUGCGAUACGUAGUGCGAAUUGCAGAAUUCAGUGAAUCAUCGAAACUUUGAACGCAAAUGGCACUUUCAGCUUCCGGCUGGAAGUACAUUUCCUCCAGUGGCGCCACCAACCCCCUCGGGCGCGGUUCCCCGCGUCUCGGAUCGUGGUCGCUCCUCUUGGCUUUUGCUAGAGGGCCGACUCAAGUGGCGAGCGCCGCCGCAGGCCGCGUGUCCCAGGGUGCCUUUUUGUGCGUCUUGGGAGCCGAUGUGCUAAGCACCCUUACUCGUCGGUGAGAGCGCGGUUUGCUGGCGCGGGUCUGCUGCUGGGCGUUUGCUUUGCAGUGGUCCCACGUGUUUUAUAUCCACAUACCGCCAUGGAGUGACGUGAGGCUACCCGCUGAACUUAAGCAUAUCA